rnacentral:rRNA from 1 species
GAGUUUGAUCAUGGCUCAGGAUGAACGCUGGCGGCGUGCUUAACACAUGCAAGUCGAGCGAAGUAGCAAUACUUAGUGGCAGACGGGUGAGUAACAUGUAGGUAUCUUCCCUUUGGCCUGGAAUAACACGAGGAAACUUGUGCUAAUACUGGAUAAGUCUUUACAGAGAAAGCUUUAUGCACCAUUGGAUGAGCCUGCACUUGAUUAGUUUGUUGGUAGGGUAAUGGCCUACCAAGACUGUGAUCAAUAGCUGAUUUGAGAGGAUGAUCAGCCACAUUGGGACUGAGACACGGCCCAAACUCCUACGGGAGGCAGCAGUGGGGAAUCUUGCACAAUGGAGGAAACUCUGAUGCAGCGAUGCCGCGUGAGUGAAGAAGGCCUUUGGGUUGUAAAGCUCUUUCGUCGGGGAAGAAAAUGACUGUACCCGAAUAAGAAGGUCCGGCUAACUUCGUGCCAGCAGCCGCGGUAAUACGAAGGGACCUAGCGUAGUUCGGAAUUACUGGGCUUAAAGAGUUCGUAGGUGGUUGAAAAAGUUGGUGGUGAAAUCCCAGAGCUUAACUCUGGAACUGCCAUCAAAACUUUUCAGCUAGAGUUUGAUAGAGGAAAGCAGAAUUUCUAGUGUAGAGGUGAAAUUCGUAGAUAUUAGAAAGAAUACCAAUUGCGAAGGCAGCUUUCUGGAUCAUUACUGACACUGAGGAACGAAAGCAUGGGUAGCGAAGAGGAUUAGAUACCCUCGUAGUCCAUGCCGUAAACGAUGUGUGUUAGACGUUGGAAAUUUAUUUUCAGUGUCGCAGCGAAAGCAAUAAACACACCGCCUGGGGAGUACGACCGCAAGGUUAAAAACUCAAAUGAAUUGACGGGGACCCGCACAAGUAGUGGAGCAUGUGGUUUAAUUCGAAGAUACGCGCAGAACCUUACCAACACUUGACAUGUUCGUCGCGACUUUAAGAGAUUAAAGUUUUCGGUUCGGCCGGACGAAACACAGGUGCUGCAUGGCUGUCGUCAGCUCGUGUCGUGAGAUGUUGGGUUAAGUCCCGCAACGAGCGCAACCCUCACUUUUAGUUGCCAUCAUUUAGUUGGGCACUCUGAAAGAACUGCCAGUGAUAAGCUGGAGGAAGGUGGGGAUGACGUCAAGUCCUCAUGGCCCUUACGUGUUGGGCUACACACGUGCUACAAUGGUAUUUACAACAGGAAGCAAGACGGCGACGUUUAGCAAAUCCUUAAAAAAUACCUCAGUUCGGAUUGCACUCUGCAACUCGAGUGCAUGAAGCUGGAAUUACUAGUAAUCGUGGAUCAGCGUGCCACGGUGAAUGCGUUCCCGGGUCUUGUACACACCGCCCGUCACACCAUGGGAGUUGGUUCUACCUUAAGGCAAGGCUUAAAACCCUUGACCACGGUAUAGUCAGCGACUGGGGUGAAGUCGUAACAAGGUAACC